UGUUGUCGAAAUUUCUUACCCUAAUUAAUACAAAAAAUAUCUGGAUAAAUCGUAUCAUCAUAAUAUAAUUAUUAAAUCUGCACCAGCGAUUCUACAUAAAAUGCUGAAAAGUAGUAAUUUAGAAAGUAUUAUUAAUGCCGUGGAAGCGGAAGGUCAGCAACCGAACAACGCAACUGAUUUGCAACAAGUGGCCGUAACGCUGCAUAACAACAACAGCUUCAGUGCAGAUGAGACUAUAUCACAAGUGAAUAAAAACACCUUCACGUCGUCCAAUGGCAUUGGUAAAAAUAAUAACAAUGAGGAUUAUAAUACCGUUCGAACAACAAAAACAACUGAUGAAUUGCCCGAUUCAUUGGCUACCAAGCAGUUGGCCACAGGUCUCUUGCAAAUUUUUGAGCCACCAUUAGUAAAGGCACGCGGACAAUUGAAGGAACUCAUUGGUAAACAGAAUAAAAUUUACAUUGAUUUAUCGGCGGAAAAAUUCAAAUUGGAUAACGCUGAGACGGCGAAGCUGCACGAAAUGAUGAACAAUGUGAAAAUUUAUCGGGAAAAGUUGGUUAAGAUUAAAAAGCAAAUGCAAAACAUUUAUCAGCGCACUAAAGUACUGAAGAAACGCGCAAUGCAUGUGCAGGCCUGCAAACAUAAAGAGCUACAACGCAAACUACAGAAACAACAACAAGAGGAGGCUUUAAUCGCGAAACAGCAACAAACGCAAGCUGCGACGCAGUCGGAAUGAAGUCACCAACAAGAGUAGUCAACGUGUUACGAAAGCCUUCUGGGAAUUUUCUUUUUGUGCCCAUUAAAAAAUUUGUGCACAAAAUUCAAAUGCUUUGGUUUUGCAGCAACGAAUGACGGUAGUAAAAUUAUCUCACACAAUUGUUUACCAAUUAAAGAUAACUAAAUAAUUAUAUAAAAUAUUAAA
rnacentral:misc_RNA from 1 species